rnacentral:rRNA from 1 species
AAAACUUUCAACAACGGAUCUCUUGGUUCUCGCAUCGAUGAAGAACGCAGCAAAGCGCGAUAGGUAAUGCGAAUUGCACACGUGAGUCAUUGAAUCUUUGAACGCACAUUGCGCCAUCAGGUUCUCCUGAUGGCAUGCUUGUUGGAGCGCCGAUCUUUCUCUC